AGCUCCUGCCCGCUCUAUACAGGCGUACAUCAGAGCAGUGCGUCCAGCCCGGUCCUGUGCGUUUGGAUCUGCCUGAUCGGUACAGAGGAGGACAUUUGAUAGAAGACGACAACUCAAGAAACACACUUUGGUAGGUGGAUGGAGGACACAAGCAGAGCUGGAAACAUCAGGAACCUGUUUACUAUGCAUUACAAGUAUGUGAGGAGUUUCCCCGUCUCAGGCCCAGUAGGCUCCCCUCUCAGGGCCUUACAGGCAGCCAGCAGAGCAGUCUCUCCUCUCUGGUUGCGCCCGUUCACCUGAGCCCCACCUUCCACCAGUAGGCGGACCAGGCGAAGCUUACCCAAGCAUGCUGCGCUGAUGAGGGGGCUGCAGUCUGACAGGGGGUCCCCCAUGGCCUGGAAGUGUUUAUGUUCAUACUUUUCAACAAGCAAUUUCACUUAUGUGAUUAUUGCUCACAAAGCCGCCUUUUCCCCUCAAGAGCAAAACAUUUUACCAACCAAAAUACAUUAUAUGAAAGCAUGAUAUCAAAUAAACAAGAUAACCAAGUGUAUGUAGUCCUUCUG